CCUACGGGAGGCAGCAGUGGGGAAUCUUGCGCAAUGGCCGAGAGGCUGACGCAGCGACGCCGCGUGGGGGAUGAAGCAUUUCGGUGUGUAAACCCCUGUUGCUCGGGACGAACGACCGGUUUCGACCGGUGUGACGGUACCGAGUGAGGAAGCACCGGCUAACUCCGUGCCAGCAGCCGCGGUAAUACGGAGGGUGCGAGCGUUGUCCGGAAUCACUGGGCGUAAAGGGCGCGUAGGUGGUUAGAUGCGCCGGUGGUGAAAGCGCAGGGCUCAACCCUGCGUCGGCCAUCGGGACGGUCUGACUGGAGCACUGUAGAGGCAGGUGGAAUUCCGGGUGUAGCGGUGGAAUGCGUAGAGAUCCGGAAGAACACCGGUGGCGAAGGCGGCCUGCUGGGCAGUUGCUGACACUGAGGCGCGACAGCGUGGGGAGCAAACAGGAUUAGAUACCCUGGUAGUCCACGCCGUAAACGAUGGCACUAGGUGCGUGGGUAGGCGACCCGUCGAGUGCCGCGCACGCAGUAGUGCCGCCGCGGGAGACGACCGCGAAGGUAGUAACGUUACGAAGUAAGUUAGACGGCGNGAGACGNGCCGAGGCGACGACGAGGGAGAGG
rnacentral:rRNA from 1 species